AGUCGAGGGGUACAGGGUGCUUGCACCGCUGACGACCGGCGCACGGGUGCGUAACGCGUAUACAAUCUACCUUAUAGAGGGGGAUAGCCCAGAGAAAUUUGGAUUAAUACCCCAUAGUAUUAUGAAAUAGCAUUAUUUUAUAAUUAAACAUUUAUGGCUAUAAGAUGAGUAUGCGUUCUAUUAGUUAGUAGGUAAGGUAACGGCUUACCUAGACUUCGAUAGAUAGGGGUCCUGAGAGGGAGAUCCCCCACACUGGUACUGAGACACGGACCAGACUCCUACGGGAGGCAGCAGUGAGGAAUAUUGGACAAUGGGCGAGAGCCUGAUCCAGCCAUGCCGCGUGCAGGAAGACGGCCCUAUGGGUUGUAAACUGCUUUUACAGAGGAAGAAACACUCCCUUGCGAGGGAGCUUGACGGUACUCUGCGAAUAAGGAUCGGCUAACUCCGUGCCAGCAGCCGCGGUAAUACGGAGGAUCCAAGCGUUAUCCGGAAUCAUUGGGUUUAAAGGGUCCGUAGGCGGGACAAUCAGUCAGCGGUGAAAGUCUGUGGCUCAACCAUAGAAUUGCCAUUGAUACUGUUGUUCUUGAAUACUUAUGAAGUGGUUGGAAUAUGUAGUGUAGCGGUGAAAUGCAUAGAUAUUACAUAGAACACCGAUUGCGAAGGCAGAUCACUAAUAAUUUAUUGACGCUGAUGGACGAAAGCGUAGGUAGCGAACAGGAUUAGAUACCCUGGUAGUCUACGCCGUAAACGAUGGUUACUAGCUGUUCGGGAGCAAUCCUGAGUGGCUAAGCGAAAGUGAUAAGUAACCCACCUGGGGAGUACGUUCGCAAGAAUGAAACUCAAAGGAAUUGACGGGGGCCCGCACAAGCGGUGGAGCAUGUGGUUUAAUUCGAUGAUACGCGAGGAACCUUACCAGGGCUUAAAUGUAGUUUGACCCGAUUUGGAAACAGAUCUUUCGCAAGACAAAUUACAAGGUGCUGCAUGGUUGUCGUCAGCUCGUGCCGUGAGGUGUCAGGUUAAGUCCUAUAACGAGCGCAACCCCUGUUGUUAGUUGCCAUCGAGUAAUGUCGGGAACUCUAACAAGACUGCCAGUGCAAACUGUGAGGAAGGUGGGGAUGACGUCAAAUCAUCACGGCCCUUACGUCCUGGGCCACACACGUGCUACAAUGGUAGGGACAGAGAGCAGCCACUGCGCAAGCAGGAGCGAAUCUAUAAACCCUAUCUCAGUUCGGAUCGGAGUCUGCAACUCGACUCCGUGAGGCUGGAAUCGCUAGUAAUCGCAUAUCAGCCAUGAUGCGGUGAAUACGUUCCCGGGCCUUGUACACACCGCCCGUCAAGCCAUGGAAGCUGGAAGCACCUGAAGUCCGUCACCGCAAGGAG
rnacentral:rRNA from 1 species